UAGGGAAUCUUCGGCAAUGGACGAAAGUCUGACCGAGCAACGCCGCGUGAGUGAAGAAGGUUUUCGGAUCGUAAAACUCUGUUGUUAGAGAAGAAUGUUGCAUAGAGUGGAAAAUUAUGCAAGUGACGGUAUCUAACCAGAAAGGGACGGCUAACUACGUGCCAGCAGCCGCGGUAAUACGUAGGUCCCGAGCGUUGUCCGGAUUUAUUGGGCGUAAAGCGAGCGCAGGUGGUUUAAUAAGUCUGAUGUAAAAGGCAGUGGCUCAACCAUUGUGUGCAUUGGAAACUGUUAGACUUGAGUGCAGUAGAGGAGAGUGGAAUUCCAUGUGUAGCGGUGAAAUGCGUAGAUAUAUGGAGGAACACCGGUGGCGAAAGCGGCUCUCUGGACUGUCACUGACACUGAGGCUCGAAAGCGUGGGUAGCAAACAGGAUUAGAUACCCUGGUAGUCCACGCCGUAAACGAUGAUUGCUAGGUGUGGGGGGUCUGACCCCUUCCGUGCCGGAGUUAACACAAUAAGCAAUCCACCUGGGGAGUACGGCCGCAAGGUUG
rnacentral:rRNA from 1 species